ACUCCUACGGGAGGCAGCAGUGGGGAAUUGUUCGCAAUGGGCGCAAGCCUGACGACGCAACGCCGCGUGGAGGAUGAAGACCUUCGGGUCGUAAACUCCUUUCGAUCGAGACGAAUGGCCUCCGGCCUAACACUCCGGAGGAAUGACGGUACCGAGAGAAGAAGCCCCGGCUAACUCCGUGCCAGCAGCCGCGGUAAUACGGGGGGGGCAAGCGUUGUUCGGAAUUACUGGGCGUAAAGGGCUCGUAGGUGGCCAACUAAGUCAGACGUGAAAUCCCUCGGCUUAACCGGGGAACUGCGUCUGAUACUGGAUGGCUUGAGUUUGGGAGAGGGACGCGGAAUUCCAGGUGUAGCGGUGAAAUGCGUAGAUAUCUGGAGGAACACCGGUGGCGAAGGCGGCGUCCUGGACCAACACUGACACUGAGGAGCGAAAGCCAGGGGAGCAAACGGGAUUAGAUACCCCGGUAGUCCUGGCCCUAAACGAUGAAUGCUUGGUGUGGCGGGUAUCGAUCCCUGCCGUGCCGAAGCUAACG
rnacentral:rRNA from 1 species